rnacentral:misc_RNA from 1 species
GAUGAAGAACGUAGCGAAAUGCGAUAAGUAAUGUGAAUUGCAGAAUUCAGUGAAUCAUCGAAUCUUUGAACGCACAUUGCGCCCCCUGGUAUUCCGGGGGGCAUGCCUGUCCGAGCGUCAUUACAACCCUCAUGCUCAGCUUGGUGUUGGGCCCCGCCGCCCCGGCGGGCCCUAAAGUCAGUGGCGGUGCCGUCCGGCUCCGAGCGUAGUAAUUCUUCUCGCUCUGGAGGUCCGGUCGUGUGCUCGCCAGCAACCCCCAAUUUUUUUCAGGUUGACCUCGGAUCAGGUAGGGAUACCCGCUGAACUUAAGCAUAUCAAUAAGCGGAGGA